AUUGUUUUGUUUAUAAUUAUAUAUUUUCAAAUUGGAGUUGAAACACCUUUAUGGUUAAACUGAAAGGGCUAUAUUUUAGGGCACAGGCCAUGAAGGAUUUUGUGUUACAAGCAUCAAACAAAACAUUCCAGUUACGAGAAUACCCCCAACUGAUGAUUUUAAUUUAUUUUCUUCUCUGGAGUCCAUCUAUCCACUUUUAGAAAUUGUUUUCAGCUACUUGAACUAUAAUGAAUUGAAAACAUGUUCUCAAGUGAAACAGUCUUGGAAUGAAACAGCGGAAACAGUUUUGAGAAGGAGAAUGAGGCCCAGUUGGUUCACGUGCUACAAAACACAUUCAAUACCAAGCUUUCAUCAAGACUACUACAGCCCUAACCUGAAUUAUAACAAUGUUGGCCUGGGAAUAAUUUUAUAUGAAUUCAGGAGAAUGAAGCUGAACAAAUAUAUAUGUAUCCAUUCUGAUAUAACCGAAUUAGAUAGAACGUCAGUUUCAGUUGUAGAAUAUCUAGAAGAUGAGUUGAUUCCGAAAAACGUAGACUAUUGUGCAAUCUCUUGUCCGAGAGUGGUUUCGUUCUUUGAUCGUAAGAGCACGGAGUUUAGAGAUAUAGGACUAGCUUCAAUAUUAGAUGGUUUAUUUCUUCCAAAAAUUGAAAAUAUCAAAAUGGCAACGUUUUAUUGCAAUCCAAUUAAAGACGAUAUUGAGAGGGUCCUCACCGCAUACAAGGAACCAAAUGAUGAAGCGAAAUGCUUGCUUUUAUUCUCAACUACUAAUCAGGAGAGGACUCUACACAAUUUACUGAAGUACAUGGUACCUGAGUGAGUAAAUUUUACUACUGAUUUCUUUUUGUGGCUUUUUCAUUAAGUAAUCUCAUUUGGGGAUGCUUUGUUUGGCUAUUUGGGUUGUGUGGUUCAAUUUCCUAAUAAAAAAACACUUCUCCCACAAAAUAGAACUAUAACACUCUUUUCAACUCACAUCAACCAAGUUGAUGUUAUUACGAAAGAAUCUAAGGUAGUUUCUAAGCACUCACAACCUAUUUAUGUAAAACAGAACAAAGUUUUACUUUCACUCAAGCAUCUAAAAUUACAUUUGCAAAUUAGCAGGAAAUUUCCCAGGAAUCUUCCCACAAAUUUGAAGGAAAUAGUUCCGUACAUAGUUCUGUAGCCACUCUUUGCUAUUUCAAUUAUUUUGAAAUCAUGAAAAAGACUAGUGUUGGCUACUGGCCUUUAAAUAUUACUGGAGUUUUUUCUCAACACCAAACUAUUAUUUCAACACCUCGACACGUGUUUCGA
rnacentral:misc_RNA from 1 species